UACAGUGGCCCAGUGGUUAGAGCGUCCGUCUCGAAUGCCGGAGGUUGCGGGUUCUAAUCUCGGCCCAGUCAUAAAAA